rnacentral:rRNA from 1 species
CCUACGGGGGGCAGCAAUUAGGAAUCUUGCGCAAUGGGCGAAAGCCUGACGCAGCGACGUCGCGUGACCGAUGAAGUCUUUCGGGAUGUAAAGGUCUUUUCUGGGGGAAGAAGGAUGUGACGGUACCCCAGGAAUAAGCCCCGGCUAACUACGUGCCAGCAGCCGCGGUAAUACGUAGGGGGCGAGCGUUGUCCGAAUUCACUGGGCGUAAAGCGCGCGUAGGCGGACUAUUAAGUUGUGGGUGAAAUCCCGGGGCUCAACCCCGGAACUGCCUGCAAAACUGGUAGUCUUGAGGUAUGAAGAGGGAAGUGGAAUUCCAGGUGUAGCGGUGAAAUGCGUAGAUAUCUGGAGGAACACCCGUGGCGAAGGCGGCUUCCUGGUCAUAUCCUGACGCUGAGGUGCGAAAGCCAGGGGAGCGAACGGGAUUAGAUACCCCUGUAGUCU